UUCUUUCUCUAUCUCUUUCUUAAUUUAUUUUUUCCCUUUGUUAUAGUUGCAGACUUUUUAUAGAAGACGACGGAGAAGAAAUUGAGCAUUGAUUCAUCGAUCGUUGACAGCAGAACAAAUGAUAUUGUCGAUGUAGAGGUGUUACGUGACGAUGGCUCCAAUAAUGUUGGCGGUUGCUCUGUAGCCGGAGACUGUGAUUUUGAUUCUUUCUCUCUAAAGUUUUUCAGCUGUUCAGGCACCUUAGCCUCUGUGUGUGUAUUAUGGGUGUCAGAUUUUGUAUCAUUAGACAAAAAGACAUGUGCUUUCUUCUAUGGCGUUUCCUCCUAUGUUUCCAAUCUUCUCCAUAACCUUUCUUCGCCGUAUAUGUCAAUUCUCCACCAUCUCAGUCACCGCUCCGCCGUCUCUACCAACAUUCUCCAGCAUCUCUGCCACAAUUCUAGUUUACAUCCUUUGGUUUGUCCAGAGUCGGAAUUCAAACCGUACCCGUCACAAUGAAGAAAUGGCCAUCCAAGAAAGGAGAUAGAGAUGAUGCACAAUAAUCUUUUCCUCAUACUUUACAAGACCUGUAAGUUAACAAGAUGUACACAUGUUUCAUGACAGGCCAUCAAAGAAAGGAGAUAGAGCUUUUAGUUUAUGUAAGAAACUUGGGUUAGUUAACAAGAUGUACACAUGUUUCAUGACAUACAGGAUCAUGUACUUGUACACAAUGAGGCUGGUGUACACAUGAACAUCACCUAAGGUUGACAUGUUUUAAAACUUAACAAGAGUGGCCUUACUCAUAUAGAAAACA